UACGUAGGGGGGCAAGCGUUGUCCGGAAUCAUUGGGCGUAAAGAGCGUGUAGGCGGUCCGGUAAGUCAGCUGUGAAAGUCAAGGGCUCAACCCUUGAAAGCCGGUUGAUACUGUCGGGCUAGAGUCCGGAAGAGGCGAGUGGAAUUCCCGGUGUAGCGGUGAAAUGCGCAGAUAUCGGGAGGAACACCAAUGGCGAAGGCAGCUCGCUGGGACGGUACUGACGCUGAGACGCGAAAGCGUGGGGAGCAAACAGG
rnacentral:rRNA from 1 species